rnacentral:rRNA from 1 species
AGUGAACGCUGGCGGUAGGCCUAACACAUGCACGUCGAACGGCAGCACAGUAAGAGCUUGCUCUUACGGGUGGCGAGUGGCGGACGGGUGAGGAAUAUAUCGGAAUCUACUUUUUCGUGGGGGAUAACGUAGGGAAACUUACGCUAAUACCGCAUACGACCUACAGGUGAAAGCAGGGGAUCUUCGGACCUUACGCGAUUGAAUGAGCCGAUGUCGGAUUAGCUAGUUGGCGGGGUAAAGGCCCACCAAGGCGACGAUCCGUAGCUGGUCUGAGAGGAUGAUCAGCCACACUGGAACUGAGACACGGUCCAGACUCCUACGGGAGGCAGCAGUGGGGAAUAUUGGACAAUGGGCGCAAGCCUGAUCCAGCCAUACCGCGUGGGUGAAGAAGGCCUUCGGGUUGUAAAGCCCUUUUGUUGGGAAAGAAAAGCAGCAGGUUAAUACCCCGCUGUUCUGACGGUACCCAAAGAAUAAACACCGGCUAACUUCGUG